rnacentral:rRNA from 1 species
GUCGUGGGGCAGCAGGUCCCGAGAAAUCGGGAUGCUGGCGACCGGCAAACGGGUGCGGAACACGUACGCAACCUUCCUUCAAGCGGGGAAUAGCCCGGGGAAACCCGGAUUAAUACCUCAUAAAAUUCUUAGAUGGCAUCAUCUUAUUAUUAAAGCUCCGGCACUUGAAGAUGGGCGUGCGCCUGAUUAGGUAGUUGGCGGGGUAAUGGCCCACCAAGCCUGCGAUCAGUAACUGGUGUGAGGGCAUGACCAGUCACACGGGCACUGAGACACGGGCCCGACUCCUACGGGAGGCAGCAGUAAGGAAUAUUGGUCAAUGGACGCAAGUCUGAACCAGCCAUGCCGCGUGGAGGAUGAAGGUCCUCUGGAUUGUAAACUUCUUUUAUUUGGGAAGAAAUUCCCGCAUUCUUGCGGGAUUGACGGUACCAGAUGAAUAAGCACCGGCUAACUCCGUGCCAGCAGCCGCGGUAAUACGGAGGGUGCAAGCGUUAUCCGGAUUUACUGGGUUUAAAGGGUGCGUAGGCGGAAAGGUAAGUCAGUGGUGAAAUCUCCCGACUUAAUCGGGAAACUGCCGUUGAUACUAUCUAUCUUGAAUGCCGCAGAGGUUAGCGGAAUAUGUCAUGUAGCGGUGAAAUGCUUAGAGAUGACAUAGAACACCAAUUGCGAAGGCAGCUAACUAUACGGUGAUUGACGCUGAUGCACGAAAGCGUGGGGAUCAAACAGGAUUAGAUACCCUGGUAGUCCACGCCCUAAACGAUGAUUACUCGACAUACGCGAUACACUGUGUGUGUCUGAGCGAAAGCAUUAAGUAAUCCACCUGGGAAGUACGAUCGCAAGAUUGAAACUCAAAGGAAUUGGCGGGGGUCCGCACAAGCGGUGGAGCAUGUGGUUUAUUUCGAUGAUACGCGAGGAACCUUACCUGGGCUAGAAUGCAUUUGGACUGUGGGUGAAAGCCCACUUUAUAGCAUAUACCAUUUGAAGGUGCUGCAUGCUGUCGUCAGCUCGUGCCGUGAGGUGUGGGUAAGUCCCGCACGAGCGCCCCCCUAUCAGUAGUGCAUCAGUUA